GCUACGGCGGCCCGCCUGGGUCUCGCUGCCUCCUGCGUUCCCCUACAGGGCGGCGUGGGGCGUGGCAGGCGCCCUGCAGCUCCGAGACUUACCCUUGGUACUCUUCCCGGCAGCUCAGUGGCAGGACCAGAUACCCUGAUCCUGCCUCUAUUCCAGCCGGAUGUAUAGGACUUCCUGGCUACUCCACGCCUGCUUCUCUGACUUUUUGGCGAUCCCGUCGGUGAGAGCAAUCUUUGAGUUCCAAGGGUCACAGACACAACAGCAUCGCUCAUUUUCAGCCACGCUGGGCUUCCCACCUGCCGCGCUGGACUCUAAAUUCCGUUCCUAGACGCAGGAAAUUGCUGUCCAGGACCAUGCCCUCGACUACCCCGGGGAGGAUUCUCUCUUGGGAAAAAAGCUGCCAAAGGAAACCUGCAGGGUGAAAGAAGUUUGGAGUCUUAGGGAAAGGAACCCACCUUGCAGGAGAGAGAAGGUGCAUGGGGGAGAGAGGAAAAUACAAGAAGCUGUUUGCAAGAGGACAUGCAAACGUGUUUUAAGGCCACAAACUGGUUUGUUAAGUUGCAUUGUUUUAUUCAAGUAAAAAGCCCUUCGAAGGUUCUGAUGCCUCUGCUCAGGCCAGAUAAACAUCAAGUACCAUCUUCUGACCCUGACAGUGGGAGACAGGAGUGGCCACAAAGUUUGGAAAUAUAGAUGACUCUUUGCUGUGAUUUUCCACGUUAACCAACGAUCAAUUAGUGCCUGCACUUGACUGGGAAGGAAGGUCACCCUGAGACCAUCACCAC
rnacentral:lncRNA from 1 species